UACACUGCAAGAUCUGGAAACUUUUGAUGCCAAACUUAGGACCGAUAGCACCUUUAAGAAGAAAGUGAUAACUAAACUGUCAUUGUCUGGUGGCAAAACCUUGAAGGAAACGGUCUGGAGAAUAUGUACAAAGAUCUUUCAUCAAGAUCUAUCAACCAGCUCAACUGGUGCGGUAGGGGAGAGAAGACAGGCCUUAAAUCCAGGCCUAUUCAUCAGGUACUCCUGAGUUCGGUGUUAAAAAAUCCUGCUCAACAAAAUUCAACUGAGGCUGAUGCCGAAAUGACCGUCAGAAACUGGCUGCGGCUGAGCAGGGACAGGAAUGGGGGUGGCAAAGGAAUUAAUUGACUGGACUGAACUGACUAACUGACUGACUAUUUUUCUUUUGAACUGACUGACUAUUUUCUUUUAGACUGACUGACUAUUUUGGAGGGAUUUUUUUAUUUGUGUUGUAGUUUUCUAUGUGUUAGAAUAAAUGUGUUAAAAUAAAUGUUCAGUCAUC